rnacentral:misc_RNA from 1 species
UGAUAAGUGUUUUAUGGCACUUUUUAAAUCCAUAUCCACCUUGUGUGCAAUGUCAGUCGGUCUUCUUCAUGGAGAUCGACCAAACAUCAACCUUUAUUUUUUAACUCUUUGUCUGAAAAAUAUUAUGAAUAAACAAUUCAAAAUA